rnacentral:lncRNA from 1 species
GCGUAGUUUAUAUUUAUAUUAAUUAAAUCUCAACCAUAAAUGUUAGAAACGUACAAUUUUUCCAGUACAAAGCCACCUUGAACUAUAGUGUAGGCUACGGCUUGUGUAUUUCCUGUUAUCGCUAAUGGCCAAGAAAAGAUUAUGCCCGAUCUAUAGAUAAUCUGUCUUUCCCUCAACACCUCAUGGCAUGGCAUGUUAUCUUAUCUCGCUGUAUACAGAUCUAAAUGUUGUUAGCCAAUCACAGACUGUGUUGUUACCAGUUCCACAUCAGACAACCAAUAAGAGUUGUGGCCAUGGCUUUCAGAGGAGUUAAUAGUUGCUAAUCAGACUCCUUGGGAUGUCCCUUCAGUCGAAUAGAACAGUUCAUAGACUUUCCCAGAGGGUCCGUGCUAUACGGGAUCUUUAGGAUGUCCAUACCUCUAUCAAGUAUAAACGUAAAUUGGUUAUGUUUAGUGUUAGUUUAGGGUAAGGACGCCCCAAGGAAUCCGGAAUGCAGUGACCGUUCAUAGAGUGAGAGACUGGCACGGUAUUUGAGAGCUCGGCGGUGACACGACAUUUAUUUGUUUUUUACAAGCGGCAGUAGUGAGUGUCUGCCCCAGAUCUUUUCUCGAAUAAGGAAACUAAUUACCAAGAUGUCCUUGAUCCAAUUGAGGAUCAAGAUGGGAUGAGACAGAGUAACCAAUCAGCUUCACUGCAGAUGUUCAACCCACCACCCCCACUGCCCUCCCUCCAUAACACACAUUUGCAAGCAGGCAAAGUAACCUAUGAGGCAUGUGUGAUCACUCAACAUUGGCCUGAUGACCAACAACGACGAGACGGCCUACAGGGAGGAGGUGAGGGCCCUCGGAGUAUGGUGUCAGGAAAAUAACCUCUCACUCAAUGUCAACAAAACAAAGGAGAUGAUUGUGGACUUCAGGAAACAGCAGAGGGAGCACGCCCCCAUCCACAUCGACGGGACAGUAGUGGAGAAGGUGGAAAGUUUUAAGUUCCUCGGCGUACACAUCAUGGACAAACUGAAGGCAAACUACCUGCCCUCCAGGACAUCUACAGCACUCGAUGUCAAAGGAAGGCCAAAAAGAUCAAAGACAACAACCACCUGAGUCACUGCCUGUUCACACCGCUACCAUUCAGAAGGCGAGGUCAGAACAGGUGCAUCAAAGCUGGGACCGAGACACUGAAAAACAGCUUCUAUCUCAAGGCCAUCAAACUGUUAAAUAGCCAUCACUAACACAGACAGGCUGCUGCCAAUGUAGCAGUGUGAUGUUGUUCCCCUAGAUUAUGCACCAAGUUGCACACAAGGACCAAUUAAAAUAGGCCAGGUCAAGAGGGGAUGUUAAUAAUUUGAUAAUAAUAAUAAUAAUAAUAAUAAUAAUAAU